ACACUUACCUGGCAGGGGAGAUACCAGGAUCAUGUAGGUGGUUUUCCCAGGGAGAGGCUUAUCCAUUGCAUUCCAGAUGGGCUGACCUCUGUUAUUUACCCAAAUGUGGGGAACUUGAAUGCAUAAUUUUUGGUAAUGGAGAACUGUGCUCACACUUUCCAC